GAUGAACGCUGGCGGCGUGCCUAAUACAUGCAAGUCGAGCGAACGGACGAGAAGCUUGCUUCUCUGAUGUUAGCGGCGGACGGGUGAGUAACACGUGGAUAACCUACCUAUAAGACUGGGAUAACUUCGGGAAACCGGAGCUAAUACCGGAUAAUAUUUUGAACCGCAUGGUUCAAAAGUGAAAGACGGUCUUGCUGUCACUUAUAGAUGGAUCCGCGCUGCAUUAGCUAGUUGGUAAGGUAACGGCUUACCAAGGCAACGUUGCAUAGCCGACCUGAGAGGGUGAUCGGCCAAACUGGAACUGAGACACGGUCCAGACUCCUACGGGAGGCAGCAGUAGGGAAUCUUCCGCAAUGGGCGAAAGCCUGACGGAGCAACGCCGCGUGAGUGAUGAAGGUCUUCGGAUCGUAAAACUCUGUUAUUAGGGAAGAACAUAUGUGUAAGUAACUGUGCACAUCUUGACGGUACCUAAUCAGAAAGCCACGGCUAACUACGUG
rnacentral:rRNA from 1 species